CUGCGGGGAUGGGUGGCUGCCGUUUCCGUGCCGGUGCUGAGGGCCGGCUCCGGCGGGGGGCCCCCGGCCCUGGCUUCAGGUGUGACGGAGCCGUGGGCCCCUGCCCGGCCGGUGGCCGUGGAGGGUGAGUGGAUCUCCCUCGGGGGCAGCGGAGCCGAGGCCGGAGGGCGGUCAGCUGUCACCGCCGCCCUUCGCACACCUUUCCCCUUCAAGCCGGGGGUGUGGGUGCCCACGGCGUUUGUCUGCUCCUUCCAGCAGCCCCGACAUCAAAGGAGAUUUAAAGUUCGCCCCCUCAGCGGCACUUUGGCAGCAGGCAGAUGGCAGGCUCGCGCUGGUGGUCCCACUGACAUAGCAGAAGACAGAUGUCCGAAGUGCCAGGGAAGCUGAGAUGUUUUCUCACAACUCCAUUUAUUCCUUUUGUCCACUCAAGAACCAGACAACUUAAACUUUUUAAAAUGUAGAUUUCCACUGCAGCUGGACAGACAAACCCUGGCUUCAGUUUCACAAGCAGAAUUCAGCUGUUCCAUGCAUGAAACUGGAGCUAAAUUGUUGUCCUGGCGUGGAAGUGGAAGAAGCAUCUGGCCAGUGAGAGACUAGCAGCAAGCCAGUCCCCUUUCCAGGGUACUCAAAGUUGGUUUACUUUUUCCAAAACAGAUGAGAAAAAAAGCAACAUAAAUUUCCUAUCCAAAUACUUGUCAACCUUAGGGGAAAAAAAAAAAAAAGUUUUAACAAAAAAUAAAACAGCUUGCACACUGUCUUGCACACUUUUAAUAAAGAAAGAGCAGCCAUGGCUGUGUGUAGCAUGCACAGACAACAAAUUCUGCAACUGUGCAAUCUGUUCUGUUUCUUUUGAAUCAACUGUCAGUUUUAGUGCUCUCCCUUAUCAGAAACUAUCACGUGUCAUGCAGGAAGAGGCAAUCUCAGGUAUGUAGCCAUUCGGUUUUGAUUGUAAGUUUGCAGAAUCACAUGUUAAAAGAAGUCUGUUGACAGUAGAAAUCACCAUAAGCUGAAUCACAGGAGUGCUGGAUCACAUCUCCGCAGCCCCUCAGGACUUCAUAGCUGUUACCACACUGCUUUCUGACAGUCUCUCGCAACUUCUUCCUAACAGCAGAAACCUAAAUAAUUUAUGAGGAAAACAAACCUUGCUAUUUGAGCUGAAGAAGAUUCCCUUACUAUCUGUUCCCACCACAGAGCUGCUUGAGACCCUGAAACACACUUCUGCUUUCAUCCAGAACAGUGAAAUACAUGCUUAAGUUUAGCAAAUUAAGUACCUCUUUCACAUUCAGUGAUUAAUUCAGAGAUGAGAACUGCAGGCACUAAAUUACUCUUUUUACCUGAUUUAUUUUUACUAAAUAAAUGACCCCAUAAUGUAAUUUUCUCAACCUGAACAGAUAUUUUCUGCCAUUUGCUUUACUGUUUGGGAAACAUUCUCAUCUAUUCCAUUUAACUUGGAAGUAGUAAAACCUUCAGACCAUGUCCCUUACCCUAGGGAUCACACCUGUAAAUCAGUCAUUCUUCCUAGAAAAUAAGACGCCUAGUCAGAAACGCACGUUGCAACAUGCAAGAACGCCAACAGCAUAGAGGAAUGUAUGUUCGUUCUCCUCUAUGGCACUUCCAAUUUCACCCUUUUAGUAUUGGCAGUGUGAAUGAUAUAGUGGAACAUCUUGUUGAUAGUAGUAUUUCAUGCACGUUUCUCCUUAAUUUUGUUUCAUAUAUAUGAUCUACAUGCCUGAAUCCAAAUUACUAUAGGGAAAAACAUCCUUCUUAAUUUAACUGUCUGUAUCUGAGCCUUUUUGACCUGCCCUCCUAAAGGAUAAAACGGUGCCCAAUUUUUGAAAAACUCUUUUCAAUGGGUCAUCAUCUGGCAUAAAGUUUAAUUCUUUUAUAAUCUGAUUUGAAGAGAUGUGUUUUCUUGAAUCGCUUUCUAAACUGCAAUGUAAUUUCUUAUGACCUUUCUUAAUAGUGCUAGAAGCAAAACGAUGGUAAUACAGCAGUACAGGAGAAGCAGAAUUACCUACUUUCACAAUCCAAGAUCAAUGAGUAAGUGGGUGUUAUAAAUGCAGAGGUGUUAGCUGCAAUAAAUACUCAUAAAAUUGAAGUGUAACUGAGGUUGGAAGCGACCUCUGGAGGUUUUCUAGGCCAAACUACAGCUCAGAGCAGGACUUACUUCAAAGUUAAAUGAGGUUGAAUAGUUUUCCACAUUGCAUGUAACAAAGACAAUGGGUAAGUGCACGGGAAUGGACAUCAAGGAAAAUCAAGGCAACACCAGCUGUGUACUCUUGAGCAUAGCUACUCCAAACAAGCUUUCAGCUAAAGCAACUUUAUCAUGGUCUUCAGGACGGGAGAAAAUAUGAGUAACAGUACCUUAAAAACACAUUCUCUCUGACUCAUUUAAUACAGGGUUUCUUACAUUGUUCCCUUCCAGAACAUAAAAAUUCUGUUUCUUUUCACCAUGUGACUACUUAAAGGAAGUUCAUGCUAAUUACCUGACAGUGGUUAUACUUCACUAUAGACAUCAACAUCUAGAAUUGGAUAUUUUAUGUCCUGGAGAGUUCAUAUCAGCACUAUAGGAGUUUAUAAUCUUGAAAAAUAUAUAGUGUAUCUCAUAUAUGGUGUAUCUGUGACACUUGUAUACGUGCCUUUUAAAAUGGAUAAUCUGCUGUCCAGUAACACAGUGACUUGCACUUUUCUGUGUGGGUCAGCAUUACUUUCACUGAUGCUUUUUUUGGAUAGAAGAAAUGUUGCAGAUUUUACAAAGGUGACAUACACUCCUGUUUGCUAAAAAUCACCUGGCAGCUGAACUGGAUACAGCAGUCCUCCCUUCCUGUCCUCGCUCUGGAAUCCUUGCUCUUCUUCCGCUGAAGGGAGAAGGGACCUUUGCCAUAGACUGCAGUGACAGCAGGAGGAGAGCAGACACAGAUUAAGCAAGGUGUUGGAGGAUUUUCUGCAUGCUCUGUAAGUAUUUAGGGAACCAUGUGAUAUGUGAUCUUCGAUACAAGGUUAGGCAGUUUGAACUCUUGAGUUAGACCCAGAUAUUUCCAGACAGAGCUACCUACUGGCUGUACAUCUGAGAAAGUACAUCUGAAUUAUUUCUUCUGGCAACUAUCAAGAGUAUGUUAGUGAAAUAUGGUAGCUUAAGAUAGAACUAUGCUGGACAUGUUCCUGCAGCUGUUACUUGGAAAACAUCUGUGGUACUGUGCAUGGAACUUUGUACAUCUCUGUUCACACUAGCACAGAGCAAUUAAUCCUGUGAAACAAAGUAUCAAUUAUUAUUGGGAAAUAUGAGAAGGACAUUAUGCACCAACAGACAUGAAAUGACUAGAAGUAGUUACCAUUUGGAAAGAAUGGAAAAAAAAAAAAAAAGGAAUAUUCCAUUUCAGGCACAGGAAAUAGAAUAUGAUUGGCAGACUCUGCGAGACUUCUAAAACUCCAACUGGUAGUCAUUUGAGUAAGAAUAACCAGUCCACUAGACUGGAAGGGUGAUAUUUUUUAUACUUACAGUUGGAAAAAAACGUCCAUCUGUGAUAAUUUGUGACAGUCUGUGUUUGUAUAGUCUGAUAAAGGAAAGAAUAUACAGGUUGACAUGAUUUCUUAUUUACAGUUAACGGUUAUCACUAUGCAAAGCAUAAAAGACAUUGCCCUGAAGAACUCAAUUUUAGCAAAAGACAUACACAAAGGUAUUAUUCAAGAAACCCUGGGAAAGGACAAUGAGAUGUAUUUUGUUUACAGCACAUUAGGUAAUUAAGGGAUCUUUCAUUUCUUGAGGCUUUCAAAUUAAGCCUGGGCCAUUACAAGGUGUAAUGGCCAGUUGUAUUCAAGAGCUCAGAUAAUCUAUGAAAAGCAAGUGUGUAAGGAGUCUUUGGUAGCACAGCAAAGAGAGUCACGGUGAGAAAUGGUGGGAGGAUAUCUGACCGGUGGCCAGAAAUUUGUCACUGACUGGUACCGAGGUAGGGUUUCUGCUGAGAGCUAAUGAGGCCUAAGUUGCAAUUUGUGACCCACCACGUCAUCUCCCAAUAGCAACGUAUGGCCUCUGUGGUACAGAACAUAAAUACUUUGCUAUUUUACCUAUUUUCUCUCAUGAUACUUGCAUUGCAUGAUUAAAAACCACAACUCAGGAUGGAAGGAUCUUCCUAUUGUUUCAUGGAUGGUUUGU